rnacentral:lncRNA from 1 species
GUUGGUUGCGGCGGGCACCGGCCGACAUGGCGGCAGCGGUGGCGGCUGCGCUGGCGCGGCUUUUGGCGGCCUUUCUGCUCCUCGCGGCCCAGUCUUUCCUGCAGCUGCGCAACUGGACGGCCUCCCUGCUCUGCUCCGCAGCCGACCUCCCCGCCCGUGGCUUCAGCAACCAGAUCCCGCUGGUGGCGCGGGGGAACUGCACCUUCUAUGAGAAAGUGAGGCUGGCCCAGGGCAGCGGAGCACGCGGGCUGCUCAUCGUCAGCAGGGAGAGGCUGGUCCCCCCGGGGGGUAAUAAGACGCAGUAUGAUGAGAUUGGCAUUCCCGUGGCCCUGCUCAGCUACAAAGACAUGCUGGACAUCUUCACGCGUUUCGGCCGCACGGUGAGGGCGGCGCUGUAUGCGCCUAAGGAGCCGGUGCUGGACUACAACAUGGUCAUCAUCUUCAUCAUGGCUGUGGGCACCGUCGCCAUCGGCGGCUACUGGGCCGGGAGUCGGGACGUGAAGAAAAGGUACAUGAAGCACAAGCGCGACGAUGGGCCCGAGAAGCAGGAGGACGAGGCGGUGGACGUGACGCCGGUGAUGACCUGCGUGUUUGUGGUGAUGUGCUGCUCCAUGCUGGUGCUGCUCUACUAUUUCUACGAUCUCCUCGUGUACGUGGUCAUCGGGAUCUUCUGCCUGGCCUCCGCCACCGGCCUCUACAGCUGCCUGGCGCCCUGUGUGCGGCGGCUGCCCUUC